CCGAAAUUUCUUCUCACGUUCUUCCAUCAAUGGCAUUGAUGUUAGAAACAUAUUGGCAUCAGAGCAACAAAAGAUUCUCUCCGGAUGCAAAAUACUAUUCAGCCGCAUUUUUCCAAUUGGUGAAACCAAUCCUCAUCAACAUCCCCUUUGGCAAACUUGUGAGAAGUUUGGUGCUAUUUGUACUAAUCAAAUUGAUGAAGAUAUUACCCAUGUUGUGGCUAAUUCUCUUGGAACUGAAAAGGUUAAGUGGGCUCUUUCAACUGAGAAAUUUGUUGUAAAUCCUGGAUGGAUAAAAGCUUCGGCAUUUUUGUAUAAUCGGGCGGACGAGAAGCAAUUCACCUUAAAAAAUUAGAUUAUCACCAUCAAAUUAAUUAAUAUAGUUCAUAUUAAUUUAAAUGAGGGUUUCAUGAAUCACAAAUGCAUUUGUUGACCAUGAGCCAAUACUUACAAGUUUAGAACAUAAACAUAAAGUGAAGCUAUAAAA